AACGAACGCUGGCGGCAUGCCUAACACAUGCAAGUCGAACGAGACCUUCGGGUCUAGUGGCGCACGGGUGCGUAACGCGUGGGAACCUGCCCUUAGGUUCGGAAUAACUCCCCGAAAGGGGUGCUAAUACCGGAUAAUGUCUUCGGCCCAAAGAUUUAUCGCCUUUGGAUGGGCCCGCGUUGGAUUAGCUAGUUGGUAGGGUAAAAGCCUACCAAGGCGACGAUCCAUAGCUGGUCUGAGAGGAUGAUCAGCCACACUGGGACUGAGACACGGCCCAGACUCCUACGGGAGGCAGCAGUGGGGAAUAUUGGACAAUGGGGGAAAGCCUGAUCCAGCAAUGCCGCGUGAGUGAUGAAGGCCUUAGGGUUGUAAAGCUCUUUUACCCGGGAUGAUAAUGACAGUACCGGGAGAAUAAGCCCCGGCUAACUCCGUG
rnacentral:rRNA from 1 species